UCCUGGUGGCACAGAGGGUAAAGAAUCUGCCUGCAAUGCAGAAGACCCAGGUUCGAUCCCUGGGUUGGGAA
rnacentral:tRNA from 1 species